rnacentral:lncRNA from 1 species
AAUGGACAGACGUAAGGCAGCAAGACUGACUGUCCAUCUUGCUCUCUUGGAGUGCUUGUGGAAGUUGUUUUUGAAGUUGAGAAACUAUAUCUCUACUUCAAGUCUGUGGCAUGGCACUUUGCCUACAAGCAUUCCCACUUUAGACCCUGCUUAUGAGCAUGAAUCUCUGCUACAGCAAGGAAUGAAAAUGUUCCAGUUUUCUCUCCACAUUACCUCACACGCCACAGUGGGAUGGUCAGGUGUGGGACUGCAGAGUCUUUUGAGACAUCUUCAUGGUCCACUGCAAGCCAGGAAAGUAUGGACAGACUGA